GUGAAGAACUCUGUGGGAUGGUCGAAGGGCCAAUGUUUUGCACCACAAUCAAUUUAUCUUGAAUUAUCUUUUCUAUUUCUCUUUUCAAAGUGUGACAAUCUUCAGUACUAUGACCCUGAACAUCAGAAUAAUAUGCAUAUCGCACAUUAGGAUCAAAGUUUCUUGAAUGCGGGUCAGGAGUAUACCCUAGGAGAGGAGUGAUCAUGCUCUACUGUACCAAUCUCUGGAAAAAACUGGCAUAGGAUUCCCCAAUAGGAGUGAAAUUAUCUUUUUCCUUCCUCCUCUUUGCGAACUCUAUCCUCGAAUGAAAUUUGGAUUUAGAGGUCCCUUGGUAAAUUUGUGGGGGUCGAGGACGAUGUUGAGGGACAGAUGCAUGCCAUUGUGGAUAAGAAGAUGGAUGAGCAUACAAUUGUGCAUUGUUCACAGGAUAUCUAGGAAUUGGAAUGGGAAUUCUUGGAUUUCACAGAAAGAAACCUUGUUGCAAGUGGUUAUGUGGAUCUGAUAUGUAAGCUAGGGAUUGAGGCUGACAGUAUUGGUGGGUUGGACCACUCAAACUCUGCUUUGGCCCUGUUAUGAUAAUAGGUGAGUUUUCCUUCUUCUUUCCUUCAGUUUCCCUUGGUUGAUUGCAAUGUCGUCCCCAAUGUUUCACAGAAUCCUUCUGUCCAUCAGGCUCCCUAAAUUUUGAUGUCUCAAAGUUGGGAGGAAGGUUAACACUUGAAGACAUGACCCAUUUUUUAUAUGAAACAUCUUCAUAGUCCAUAAGUCCAGGGGAAUUUUUCAUAUCAUUUUCUACACUCUUCACUUUCCCAACCAUUUUCUCUGGCUCUUUUGGCAUGCUAGGCUUCUUAGCAAGAAAUUUUGGCGGUUCACUUAACUUAACUGUAGGCUCAAGAGUAUACCAAUGAUCAUCAACAGUAUUGAACUCGGAGUCACUAGUGGACUGGGGAAGCACAAUCGUUGGAUUGAUAGACAAAGUAUAAGCCUUAGUAGAAGGUUGAGCAACAAAGCACAGACGGUAUGUGGUGCUGUGAAUGUGGUAGACUUAUACUGAGGAGAUAAAGAAAGAGUGGUAGAAGUGUUGAGGUGCAUCUGACGUGGAAUGGAUUCUGAGGCAUGUUGUGGUGCAUCAACAACAGUAGGAAACUGACUUUACGAUUUUGGUGGAAGACUCAAGGUAUUUGCAAGGUCAAAGUAGGGAAGGGAGGUGGAGGCAACCCACUAGCCCAAGCUCGAUACUUUCCCAUCAUUUGUUGUCUCAGUCUCAAAUUCUCUUCCUUUAAACUCUCAAUUUCCUGACUCUUUGUUUCAUCCAUGAUGCCACUCUCUAUAUCCUUGUUGGACACAACUAACCCUUCCUUGGAUUUGGUGUGAUAUGGAGGACCAGCCAGGAAACCACAAACCAACCACCUUAAACUAACUGAACAAGAGGCAACAAAUAUGUUAGAGUUCAACAUUUUUCAAAACCUCUUUUUUUUUUCUUGAAAAAAAAUCACCAAACCCUAGAAGGGCGCCUAAGUAUCUCAUCCUUGAAAGGGGAGAAUCAGGUGUGCGUAGUUCGUGAAGUCAUGCCAAAGAGGCCAAUUGAACUCUUUUUCUUUUUUUUUCUUCGAAACUUUAAGAAGAAAAGAAAAUAACAAUUUUUCAAAAGAAUUGAUGAAAAUGUUUUUGAAUUUUUCAGCUUUAACAUCCCUAUACAAAGUGAAAUCUAUGAUUACCAAAGAAAAUCUUUUUGGGUUUUCAGUUUUAAAUUUCAUAUGAAAAUGGAACUUGAACCUAUUAAAGAAAAAUCUUUUGUAGUUUUCUUUUAAAGAUAUAUAUGAAAAACCUACUCUAAAUGAAGAGUGAAUAAAAUCUUUUUGAAUUUUUGAAAUAAGAUCAACCAAAAAUGAAAUCUACGACUAUUGAGAAAAAUCUUUUUGUUUUUGUAUUUUUCUUUUCAAUACAUGUAUGAAACACCAACUCUAAAUGAAGAGUGAAAAAAAAUCUUUUUAAAUUUUUUUUUAAAUAAGAUCAACCAAAAAUGAAACCUACAACUAUUGAGAAAAAUCUGUUUUUGUCUUUGUAUUUUUCUUUUCAAUACAUGUAUGAAACACCUACUCUAAAUAAAUAGUGAAAAAAAUCUUUUUUAAUUUUUUUUUUAAUAAGAUCCCCGAACCAACAAUAGGCUACCUACGUAUCUCACAUCCCGAAAGAGAAGAAUCAGGGGUGCGUAGUUCAUCCAGAUUGGACAAUUAAUUAUUAAAUAACGGGCUAGACCCUGACUUAAGAGACACGACCAAAGAUAGACGAUGAACCAUGUUAAUAAAAUCUUUUGAGUUUUCAUUUUGAUACUUCAUAGAAAAAUGACAUCAACAACUAUGAAAGAAAAAUCUUUUUGGUAUUUUCAUUAUACGAAAUGUAAAAAAUUUCUAACAACUUUUUUUUUUUUUGCAUUUUUCUUUUAUAAACACAUCCUAUGAAUGAAAAAAAAAAGUCUUUUUGAAUUUUUUGAAUUGUAAAUGCAUGCUAAACGAGACAAAGGAAAAUCUUUUUGAUAUUUUUGAGAAAAUGAGUGCGAAAGGUAAAAAAAGUCUUUUUGAAUUUUGGAAUUGUGAGAAAUAAAAGCCAUAAAAAACUCUAAAAACUACGAAACUCUUUUUGAUUCAUUCUUUUCGACUCACUUUUUCUAUAUUUUCUUUUCUUCUUUUUUUUCUUUUUACUUUUUUUUUCUUUUUCGUUUUUUUGCCUAUGCACUUUGCUUCUAACUCAUGUUUUUGCCCAAACUAGUCGGUCAAAUAACCUCGUUACCCUCAAAGAUGCAACAUUUAGCACGUAGGGAUACCUUAGAGGUGAGUCUCCUACAAAGGGCCAAGUGGGCCCUGCUAGGUCUUCAAUAUGAUGCACAUAAGCAUGACCUAAAGGCAGACCUACGUUGGGGUUCACUAACAAGGUUGUUCGGGGAGCAUAUGGUCGAUAGUGGCUGCUUAGCUUUCCACCUACUCCAUACAUCCAACGGCUCCCCCCCUAAAAUAAAGGUGACUCAACUAGAGUUUGUGCACAUGACGUGCGCUCCGAGACUUAUUGCGGAAAGAAUGACUCAGGUUAUUCACAUGAUGUCAAAUUUAAAGCCGGUAACACAUACGAUAAAUACUGUAACAAAGAGCACGAAAAUACACAAAAGUGAAAACACAAAUAAAAUCACAAACAAUGCUUAUACACUCGUAAUGCCAAACAAAGCCGAUACGACUCCAAAAAAAAAGCUCGGAUUCUGAAAUUCUCCCCAGCAGAGUCAUCAGAGCUGUCACACCCCAUUUUCGUACUCCAAAAGAUUAUGUUUUAAGGAUUGAAAGGGUUUUAAUUACUAAAGUGACAAAAGAUGAAAAUUUGUUUCAAAAAAGGAUUAUUUUUAACAAUCAAAACUCAGAAUCGCCACUUGGCAUAAAUCGGGUGUGCCAAGGCACCCAUGGAUAUCCUUUUUCAAAAUGAUUUUGACUCUUUAAUACUGGUUUGCGAACAAAGAUUCCGGCUAGGGAAUUCUGUUGACCGAGGGGAAGGUGUUAGGAGCCCCUCGAUCCCGUGGUUUGACCACGGUCGCUUGGCAGAGCGUAUCGGCUAAAUUGAUAUUACAAAUGCAUAAACCACACAAAGCACGCAAAAACAAUCAGUCAAGCAAACAAAACAAAAUAAUCCAAAAUAUAAUGUCCAGCCCAAUUAUACAGUCCUGAAAAAUGAAAAAUGUGAAAAUGUAAACCUAUUCUAUUCUAAACUAAUCCUAAACUACUCCUAUGCUUUACCCGACGCCCCGGGCCUUCCUCACGAACGUCUUCAGCCAACAUAAUAUGUCGGGGCAUUCCCCGGUGAAUAAACACAAAUCCCUCGGGGCAUUCCCCGACCAUAUAAUACAUUUUAAUUAAAUAAGCUGAUUAACUAAAUAAAAUGUUCAAAACACACAUUUAAACAUUCGAUCAAACACAUCACAUCCAAGAUUUCUGCCUACCCGAACCUAUAUUGCCUAUCCAUUUCAACAGGUCAUAAAUUUAUCACAUUCAUGCUUAUUCCUAAUUAAACAACAAUAAACCAAAGUUAAUCUACAUUCUAAUUUUAUCAAUUUCUAUUUUCCCACCCGAGUUUCCUUUUUAUCAAUCACCACCAAAAUUACUCAAAUUCAUUCCACAUAUCAUCGAAAUCAAAUCGUCUAGCACAUAACCAUAACAUCAACUAGAUCAAACAAUCGUAAUCACUCCACGCAUAAUCACACUCAAUUCAACAAAUCAAGAUAAAGAAAAAAGAAAGCGUUAAGGAAAUGGAUCUCAAUAGAACUUGUUUUUGUUGAUAAUAAAAAAAAAAUCCGAGACCGAAAUCCUCGAACGGAGACCCCAACAACGAGCCGAGCUCCAAAUCAUGAAUGUUGAACCCACUAGAUGGCGAGAUACCCCUAAAGAACGAUAUCGAAUAACCAAUCACGAAACAGACGAACCCAAAGCUCUCUAAAUCCGGUGAAGAACUAAAAAAAAAAACUAUAGGAACUGAACUCCGGUGAGUUGACAGUGAUCAAAACCAAUGAGAAGGGUCAGAUUCCGGCGAACACGUCGUUUUCCCGUCCAAAUCUACUCGGAAAUCUAAGGAAACUGACGAGAUCUCUGGAUUUUUUGGACUAAAACGAGUAGACGACCUGUAAACUAAUUCCGGCGAAUGGUUCGCCGGAAAAACUCAAGAAAACGACAGAUCUCAGACCAGCUUCGCUGUUUCUUGCCGAAUUUCCGUCAAAACACUCUGAUAUCGCUAUUCUUUUCCCAAAUCCCCGUCAAUCACCCUCCAUUAUCUCAUUUUUUUUACUGGGUGUGUAUGUUCGUAUGUUUUUUUAUUGGUGAGAGAACGUGUUUCUGGUGAGAGGGUGUGUUUUCCGGCGUGCUGAGAGUAUGCGAGUGUAUUUUUUGUCGAGAAAAAGAUGAUUGAGAGCUCUCCCUCCUCUCUUUCUCUCUAUUCGUGUAUGUUUUGUAUUGAUAGAAAAAUGGAGAAGAAGCGUGAAUCGUCUAUGUUGUUCUUGUUCCCUAUGUGUGUAUGUAUAUAAUAAAAAAAGAAUCCCCCCUUGAAUUAUGUAUAGGGUGUAUGUAUUUGCCUUUUC
rnacentral:lncRNA from 1 species